AUGAACGCUGGCGGCAUGCCUUACACAUGCAAGUCGAACGGUAACAGCACUUCGGUGGCUGACGAGUGGCGGACGGGUGAGUAAUACAUCGGAACGUGCCCGAUCGUGGGGGAUAAUUACUCGAAAGAGUGGCUAAUACCGCAUACGAUCUACGGAUGAAAGCGGGGGAUCGCAAGACCUCGCGCGGACGGAGCGGCCGAUGGCAGAUUAGGUAGUUGGUGGGNUAAAAGCUUACCAAGCCGACGAUCUGUAGCUGGUCUGAGAGGACGACCAGCCACACUGGGACUGAGACACGGCCCAGACUCCUGACGGGAGGCAGCAGUGGGGAAUUUUGGACAAUGGGGGAAACCCUGAUCCAGCCAUGCCGCGUGCAGGAUGAAGGCCUUCGGGUUGUAAACUGCUNUUGUACGGAACGAAAAGACUCUUUCUAAUACAGAGGGUCCAUGACGGUACCGUAAGAAUAAGCACCGGCUAA
rnacentral:rRNA from 1 species